CCUGUUAGAUUGAAAUUCUGGAGAAGGCGUAUUGAAGAAAAAAUGCAGGUUAAACUUGUUGUUAAAAUGAAGUUAAUGUAAUUUCACAAACAGUAGAGUUAAUGAGUUUUUCCAUUAACAAGAAUUUCUUAAAAUAAUAAUGUAUGGAUAUCAUUUGGAAAGUGACAUGAAAUGUUGUUAAAAAGUGAUGCAUACAAGUGUUUCAGAAGUCUGUCUAGGAAUAGAACAACAACUGAAGCUGACCAGUUGAUGGAAGAUACUGCAGAGUUUGGCAGGGAAAUAACCCAAGACAGCAAAGCGGCUCUUUUGGCGCAUUUACCAAGAGGACUAACAUGGCCACAAAUUCAUGAGAUCAUGCAGGAGCCCUACAGUAUAACAGCAGUACAAGUUCUAUAAAAGAUCCACGACCUACUGAAGCCCAGCUAAUUAACAAAAAAGUUUUUAAAAACUGUAAUUUUAUCCCACCUGGGUACUUAUAAUUUACUAAGCUGCCUACACAAGUUUUAGAUUUGCAAUUAUAUUUUAAAUUGUCACUUGGAAAGUAAUACAUGUACAUCUAUUAUGUUCUGAAUUUCUUUGAACAAUAAAAUUAUAUAAAAGUAUUUUAAUGAAAUUAAGCACCUAAAUUGCAUUAAAGUGAAAGUAGCUGAGAACAAGAUGUGUUUGUGAAACACAAUGUCCCCCUAUAUGACGUUUGACCUUGAAGGAUGACCUUGACCUUGACCCUUCACCACUCAAAAUGUGCAGCUCCAUGAGAUACACAUGCAUGUCAAAUAUAAAAUUGCUAGCUUCAAUAUUGCAGAAGUUGCAUUACAUGAGCAAUUUUGACCCAUAUAUUUGACUUGGAAGGAUGACCUUGACCUUGACCUUUCACCACUCAAAAUGUGCAGCUCCAUAAGUUACACAUGCAUGCCAAAUAUCAAGUUGCUAUCUUCAAUAUUGCAAAAGUUUUCAUAAAAUAAGCGAUUUGGGCCACAUAUAUUUGACCUCUGACCUUGAAGGAUGACCUUGACCUUUCACCACUCAAAAUGUG